CAGGCUGUCUCCACCCGAGACUCAGUGAAAUUGAACUCGCUGUGAAGAUGCAGUGUACCCGCGGCAAGACGGAAAGACCCCGUGAACCUUUACUAUAGCUUGACACUGAACAUUGAGCCUUGAUGUGUAGGAUAGGUGGGAGGCUUUGAAGUGUGGACGCCAGUCUGCAUGGAGCCGACCUUGAAAUACCACCCUUUAAUGUUUGAUGUUCUAACGUGGACCCGUGAUCCGGGUUGCGGACAGUGUCUGGUGGGUAGUUUGACUGGGGCGGUCUCCUCCUAAAGAGUAACGGAGGAGCACGAAGGUUGGCUAAUCCUGGUCGGACAUCAGGAGGUUAGUGCAAUGGCAUAAGCCAGCUUGACUGCGAGCGUGACGGCGCGAGCAGGUGCGAAAGCAGGUCAUAGUGAUCCGGUGGUUCUGAAUGGAAGGGCCAUCGCUCAACGGAUAAAAGGUACUCCGGGGAUAACAGGCUGAUACCGCCCAAGAGUUCAUAUCGACGGCGGUGUUUGGCACCUCGAUGUCGGCUCAUCACAUCCUGGGGCUGAAGUAGGUCCCAAGGGUAUGGCUGUUCGCCAUUUAAAGUGGUACGCGAGCUGGGUUUAGAACGUCGUGAGACAGUUCGGUCCCUAUCUGCCGUGGGCGCUGGAGAACUGAGGGGGGCUGCUCCUAGUACGAGAGGACCGGAGUGGACGCAUCACUGGUGUUCGGGUUGUCAUGCCAAUGGCACUGCCCGGUAGCUAAAUGCGGAAGAGAUAAGUGCUGAAAGCAUCUAAGCACGAAACUUGCCCCGAGAUGAGUUCUCCCUGACCCUUUAAGGGUCCUGAAGGAACGUUGAAGACGACGACGUUGAUAGGCCGGGUGUGUAAGCGCAGCGAUGCGUUGAGCUAACCGGUACUAAUGAACCGUGAGGCUUAACCUUACAACGCCGAAG
rnacentral:rRNA from 1 species